GACGAACGCUGGCGGCGUGCCUAAUACAUGCAAGUCGAACGCCUCUUUUUCCACCGGAGCUUGCUCCAUCGGAAAAAGAGGAGUGGCGAACGGGUGAGUAACACGUGGGUAACCUGCCCAUCAGAAGGGGAUAACACUUGGAAACAGGUGCUAAUACCGUAUAACAAUCGAAACCGCAUGGUUUCGAUUUGAAAGGCGCUUUCGGGUGUCGCUGAUGGAUGGACCCGCGGUGCAUUAGCUAGUUGGUGAGGUAACGGCUCACCAAGGCGACGAUGCAUAGCCGACCUGAGAGGGUGAUCGGCCACAUUGGGACUGAGACACGGCCCAAACUCCUACGGGAGGCAGCAGUAGGGAAUCUUCGGCAAUGGACGAAAGUCUGACCGAGCAACGCCGCGUGAGUGAAGAAGGUUUUCGGAUCGUAAAACUCUGUUGUUAGAGAAGAACAAGGAUGAGAGUAACUGCUCGUCCCUUGACGGUAUCUAACCAGAAAGUCAUGGCUAACUACGUGCCAGCAGCCGCAGUAA
rnacentral:rRNA from 1 species